UGAGGAAUUUUCCGCAAUGGGCGAAAGCCUGACGGAGCAAUACCGCGUGAGGGAUGAAGGAUUUUGGUCUGUAAACCUCUUUUCUCAAGAAAGAAGUUCUGACGGUACUUGAGGAAUAAGCAUCGGCUAACUCCGUGCCAGCAGCCGCGGUAAUACGGGGGAUGCAAGCGUUAUCCGGAUUUAUUGGGCGUAAAGCGCCUGUAGGUUGUUUAAUAAGUCUGUUGUUAAAGACUAGGGCUUAACCCUAGGAAAGCAAUGGAAACUACUAGACUUGAGUAUGAUAGGGGUAGAGGGAAUUUCUAGUGUAGCGGUGAAAUGCGUAGAUAUUAGAAAGAACACCGGUGGCGAAGGCGCUCUACUGGAUCAUUACUGACACUCAGAGGCGAAAGCUAGGGUAGCAAAAGGGAUUAGAUACCCCUGUAGUCCUAGCCGUAAACGAUGGAUACU
rnacentral:rRNA from 1 species